rnacentral:rRNA from 1 species
CCCUAGUAACGGCGAGUGAAGCGGGAAGAGCUCAAAUUUGAAAUCUGGUAGCCUUCGGUUGCCCGAGUUGUAAUCUAGAGAAGUGUUUUCCGCGUUGGCCCAUGUACAAGUCCCUUGGAACAGGGCGUCAUAGAGGGUGAGAAUCCCGUCCUUGACAUGGACCCCCAAUGCUUUGUGAUACACUUUCAACGAGUCGAGUUGUUUGGGAAUGCAGCUCAAAAUGGGUGGUGAAUUCCAUCUAAAGCUAAAUAUUGGCGAGAGACCGAUAGCGAACAAGUACCGUGAGGGAAAGAUGAAAAGCACUUUGGAAAGAGAGUUAAACAGUACGUGAAAUUGUUGAAAGGGAAACGAUUGAAGUCAGUCAUGCUCUUUGGAUUAAGCCGUUCUGCGGUGUAUUUCAUUGAGCGGGGUCAACAUCAGUUUUGAUCGCUGGAAAAGGGCAGGAGGAAGGUAGCACUCUCGGGUGAACUUAUAGCCUCUUGUCGUAUACAGUGAUUGGGACUGAGGAACGCAGCAUGCCUUUUGGCCGGGAUUCGUCCACGUACAUGCUUAGGAUG